rnacentral:snRNA from 1 species
AGCAUAAACAUAUUUGUUAACAA